rnacentral:rRNA from 1 species
CAGGCCUAACACAUGCAAGUCGAACGAGGCAGCGGCCUUCGGGCCGUUGUCGAGUGGCGAACGGGUGAGUAACACGUGAGGAACCUGCCCCGGAGACCGGGAUAACCAGGGGAAACUCUGGCUAAUACCGGAUGCCCCCGGAUGGUCGCAUGGCCAACCGAGGAAAUGCUCCGGUGCUCCGGGAGGGCCUCGCGGCCUAUCAGCUUGUUGGUGGGGUAACGGCCCACCAAGGCAUCGACGGGUAGCUGGUCUGAGAGGACGAUCAGCCACACUGGGACUGAGACACGGCCCAGACUCCUACGGGAGGCAGCAGUGGGGAAUAUUGCGCAAUGGGCGAAAGCCUGACGCAGCAACGCCGCGUGGGGGAUGACGGCCUUCGGGUUGUAAACCCCUUUCAGCAGGGACGAAAAUGACGGUACCUGCAGAAGAAGCCCCGGCCAACUACGUGCCAGCAGCCGCGGUAACACGUAGGGGGCAAGCGUUGUCCGGAUUUAUUGGGCGUAAAGAGCUCGUAGGCGGUUGCGUAAGUCGGAUGUGAAAACUCAGGGCUCAACCCGGAGACGCCAUCCGAUACUGCGCUGACUAGAGUCCGGUAGAGGAGCAUGGAAUUCCUGGUGUAGCGGUGGAAUGCGCAGAUAUCAGGAGGAACACCAGCGGCGAAGGCGGUGCUCUGGGCCGGUACUGACGCUGAGGAGCGAAAGCGUGGGUAGCGAACAGGAUUAGAUACCC